rnacentral:rRNA from 1 species
CCUACGGGAGGCAGCAGUGAGGAAUUUUCCGCAAUGGGCGCAAGCCUGACGGAGCAACGCCGCGUGCAGGAGGACGGCCUUCGGGUUGUAAACUGCUUUUCUGGGGGACGAGGAUGCAAGGACGGUACCCCAGGAAGAAGCCCCGGCUCACUACGUGCCAGCAGCCGCGGUAAUACGUAGGGGGCGAGCGUUGUCCGGAGUUACUGGGCGUAAAGCGCCCGCAGGCGGUUCUGCGCGUGUUCGGUGCCAGCCCGUUGCUUAACGGCGGGAGUGCCGGGCAGACGGCAGGACUCGAGGGCCUCAGAGGGACAUAGAAUUCCGGGUGGAGUGGUGAAAUGCGUAGAGAUCCGGAGGAAUACCAAUGGCGCAGGCAGUGUCCUGGGAGGCAACUGACGCUGAGGGGCGAAAGCCAGGGGAGCGAACGGGAUUAGAUACCCUUG